AAAGUAAUUUUGUCAAUCGAUCAAGUAGGCAAAAAAAUCAUUAUUUGUGCUGUCAUCAAGCAUCAAUGUUGGACCAAAAUCAAUGGAUGGACAUGGACAAGCCAACGCUGGCCGCUCGUACCGACGUAGGUGUGCAUCUGAAGAUGUUCGCUGAAUGAGCAAUGACGUGAACGCCUGUCGUAUUCGGUGAUGUCUUGUCUUCAUCGCCAAAAUGUGAAGAUUGUGAAGUAUUCGUUUAGCUUCCAAUGCAAUGGUUAAUAAACGCUUUGCCGAGAUGUGCAUCCGGUGAUUUCUAACAUGA